rnacentral:tRNA from 1 species
GAGAGAGGCCCGACGGCAUCAGAGGCUGCUAACCUUUGCCCCCAUGGUUAAACCCCAAGGCUCACUCG